GCGCCGGCCCUAACCAGUCCCUAUUUCAGCCCCUCUCUCCCUCAAUCUCUCUCCCUCCCUCUUGAUCUCUCUCUCGAUCUCGAUCAGUCUCCCACUCUCUCUCUCUCUCUCCCUCUUCCUCUUCAACUCGGAGCUCGACGAAGAGAGCCUCAAUGAGCACAACCAGGUAAUUCAUGGUCUGCAUCUUCUAGUGUUUUUUUUCCACCUGUUUCUCUCUUGCGGCAUGAGGAUGUCAUACAUCUACAAGGCCAAGGUCAAGAAGGAUGAAAACCCUCUCAAUCCUCUCGAUCCCUCUGCCCAUCUGUCUCCCACUCCCUCACUACCGAUCGCCUGAUCUCUCUCUCUCUCUCUCACUCUCUAUUCCCCUCUCUCCCUCUCCCUCUCCCUCUCCCUCCCUUCACCAGAAACAGCGAGCCAUUGAUCUGAUCGAGCUUCUGACGAUCGGAUUUCGCAGGUGUGCAUCGACUGGAGUUCGGAUUUGGUCCGUACGCUUAGGGAUUGCAUUCAGUCCAUUCAUAAGGUCUAUAAGUUAGGAGGGGAAUUCUUGCGUUGUAUGAAGAGUGUUGUAUGUUUUCAGGUCUGUAUUAUUAGCUACCUUGGCUGCUCAUCUUUGGGCUUGAUACAAAUGUAAGAUACAUUGACAUGAUCUGGCAUACAAUUCUGUUUAUGUUUGUCUUUAAAAUUCACACUGUAUUGUCCUUUUUUUCUUUCUUUCUUUCUUUCUUUUUGUGCAGCAAGUGAAGAGCAGAGCUGCGGCUGCAUUUGGUAAUGGAGUUUAUUUGGAGAAGUACAUAAAAAAUCCCAAGCACAUUGAGUUCCAGUUGUUGGUGCUCGUUUGAUUUCCCAUGCUAGAAGUCUUACAAAUCUAGCUAAGUUCCCUGCUUCUACACUUCAGAUCCUUGGUGCCGAAAAAGCACUUUUCAGGCAAUCAUUUACAAUGCAUUUGCUCCAUCUUAUGACAUCAUGGGUUGUUGUUUGUGACGUGUGCUACUCGGAACCUCAAAAUCUAAAACCUGGUGAGACGCCAAUAGAAUUUUCAUAAAGAGUCAGGGACAUAAUAUUUAUUCGAGCUGGUCUUAAAAAGGUUCCUUGGGAUGGAUAUCUGAAAUACUCUCGUCCUGGUCCAAAGCACACCGAACAGAAGCAACAAAUCUUCGCAGAGUCGGUGCUGCGACGUCUCGAGGAAAAAUGAAGAAAAAUUAGGCUCGUGUAUGGGAUUUUCCCUUUUCCAUUUAAUGUCCCC